UUCAUAAACCAAAUGGAUCAAAAUUUAAUAAGGAAAUGGUAUUGGGUUGGUAAGCCCACAAAACAAUAAAAGUAAGGCAAAAAACACAUAAACAAAGAUCAAGCAAAACAAAAAAAUGAAAAAAAGAAAGCAAAUCAAAAUUAGAAAAUUUGACCAAAAAAACAAAAAGGAAGGGAAAAUUAAAAAAAGAUUAAUUAAAAAAAGAAAAAGAUCAAUGGAAUCCCUAAAAUCCUCCCACAAAUCGAAAAAUUUUAUAUCCAACAAUCCUCCCACG
rnacentral:lncRNA from 1 species